rnacentral:lncRNA from 1 species
GACGAGUCUGACUAUCUCCAUCCCCUUUCUCUUCUCUUCCAACGCUGUUGCCGUGGGAGUGUUGGUGGUGGUGGUGGGCGGCGUUAGUGGUUGAGGGAGAAUAAAUGCUGGGGCUGAGGGCCUACACGGUGGUGGUGGUGCGAUAAGAGGAGUGAUGGAUGCUUGAUGCUUCCCUUUGUGCUCAUUCAAUUUUGAGGAGAAACUAGAAAGGGAGAGGCACGUGGGUUCUUCUUCAGCUGGUGGCAACUGUUGAGGGGUGGGCUUUAAAAGCAGUUAUUAAAUUGCCUUACCUGCUUUCUCAGCUAUUCCGCAUUUCUUACUGCCUUUUCCUCACUCCAUUUCGGGCUCUCCACCUUGGAAUCUAGGGUUUUUGGUCCAGCCCCAUUGUGGCUGGAGUUGGAAUAUGUUGUUUGUCGUUGGGUUGAGGGAUCCCAGAAGGCAUUUACUGUGACUCAAUGUGGUUUCGUUUUCAUAGAGCAAGGUGGUGGCAGUGAUAAAAUGUUGGUUUUGGGUUGCGAUCGCGAUGUGAUUUUUCUCGCAAUUGAAGCUAAUGCAGACUCUGGCGUCCCAAAACGAGUAGACCCAUAAUGGCAAAC